AAUUUCAGCUGAAAAAGUCAUGAACAUAAAAGUUGUAGAGCUCAUCAACACAUACAACUUUUAUUUUGGUCAUUUCUUUAUCCGAUAAAGUGAUAGUAACAUUGUUCAUAAAGUUUACAUAUCUCUCUUAUAGUUUAUAGAACCAAAUGAGACAGAUGUAAAUUUUGUAAACAAUGUUACUAUCACUUUGUCGGAUGAAGAAACGACCAAAAUAAAAGUUAUAGAUCUUGAUGAGUUAUACAACUUCGUUGUUGAUGACUUUUUCAAUUGAAAUC
rfam:Oryza rufipogon genomic scaffold, chr07